rnacentral:rRNA from 1 species
CCUACGGGAGGCUGCAGUGAGGAAUAUUGGUCAAUGGCCGCAGGGCUGAACCAGCCAAGUCGCGUGAGGGAUGACGGUCCUAUGGAUUGUAAACCUCUUUUGUCAGGGAGCAAAGGGCGCCACGUGUGGCGUUUUGCGAGUACCUGAAGAAAAAGCAUCGGCUAACUCCGUGCCAGCAGCCGCGGUAAUACGGAGGAUGCGAGCGUUAUCCGGAUUUAUUGGGUUUAAAGGGUGCGUAGGCGGACGCUUAAGUCAGCGGUAAAAUUGCGGGGCUCAACCUCGUCGAGCCGUUGAAACUGGGGGCCUUGAGGGGGCGAGAAGGACGCGGAAUGCGUGGUGUAGCGGUGAAAUGCAUAGAUAUCACGCAGAACUCCGAUUGCGAAGGUAGCGUACCGGCGCCCAACUGACGCUGAAGCACGAAGGCGUGGGUAUCGAACAGGAUUAGAUACCCUUGUAGUC